rnacentral:tRNA from 1 species
UCCUUGGUGGUCCAGUGGUUAAGACUCUGCCCUUCAACUGCAGGGGGCAUGAGUUCAAUCCCUGCUCAGGGAA